AUGCCAUGAUGAGGGCAUGUAGUGAUGUAUUCUUGGAGGUGCUCCUAUGCCUUCGAGAUGGACUCAUCAGUAUGCUGCUGGAAACAUGAAAUCUUGUUUUGAAGGGC
rnacentral:snoRNA from 1 species